GCUGCUGCGGACGCGGGCACUGUUGCGGGCGCCGCCGCGCGGCCUCUCGCCAUGGCUCCCCCGCGAGCGGGCGGCUUGCACCUCCCCUCCGCGCUGCCGUCACCGCCCGACGCGCGCCGAGCCCUCCCCCUUCCCAGCCCCGCCCGCCGCCCCGCGCCGCCACCUGCGGGCCGCCCUCCAGGAUGCCCGCCGGCCACGUCCUAGUCGCCUGGAGCCGCGCCCCGCCUUCCUCGCCCGCGGCUGCCCCUGCACUUUUACCCACGCCGUGGGGCACAGAGAAGUAUCCGGGGUCAUAGAGGACAUUGGGAGGACUUGAAGAAGACUCAGACCAGAACCAAAGGUGUAAGGAAACUAAACCCUGCAAAACCUGAUUUCUCAUACUGGCAUAGACUUGACUUGAAGAGAUCAUCAAGUGUAUAGUGAAGAUUGGCUCAGGCAAGAAUCAUCCAUGAAUGCUUACUCUAGGGGGCUGUUACUGGCUGGCAGAUAUUUGUCUGGGUUGAUGUGUCUCCCCAUAGAUGGUUUAGACCUGUUAGUAGCAAAAGCGGAAAUAGUAACUAUACAAAGAGGCAGGCAGACAGCAUCUUAACCAGGUGAUCAAAAUUUACAUCACCAAUGAGAGCAGAUGGAUAUCAUGUCCACAUCAGCUAUGCAGUAUUCCUGGGGACAAUGCAUAACCUGAAUCAUGAUAGUGAAACAUCGGACAAACCCAAAAUGAGGAACAUCUAUUAAAAAGAGGAAGGGUCUGUAUUAUUCAAAAAUGUCAAGGUCAUUAAAAUCAAAAGAAAGCUUGGGAAAUGUUCCAGAUUAAAGGGUGCAAAAGAGUCAGGGCAGCUAAAUGCCAUGCCUGAUCCUAGACUGCAUCCUGUGCUAGAGGAGGGGAAAUACAUCACGGACAUUCCAGCUGACAAAAUCAGAAUCCAUGUAAGAGAUUAAAGUAUUGGAUCAAUGUUAAA
rnacentral:lncRNA from 1 species